GGUGGCUCAGUAGUAGAGCACUUGCCUUGCAUGCAAGAGGCCCUGGGUUCAAUUCCUCAGCACCA
rnacentral:tRNA from 1 species